rnacentral:lncRNA from 1 species
GUGUUAUAUACUAUGGCCAGAGGAUCUAUGAACUAGACAUCAGAUGGUUCCUCCCCAAGCACUCAAAUGGAAGCCAGGCAGACUCAAACGCCCGCUUCGUGGAUGUUCAAACACUGUGUACACCCACAUCUUGUCGACUUGAAGUAGCUCAAUUAUUCUGUGGCGUUCAUGGGGCAGCGUGUAUGAUUCCCAUUUUACCAACUGAGAAAACAGACUCCAGAAGAAGUGCUGAUGUCCUACAGGUCCCAGAGGUCAAAGAGGUGAGUUGUGGUUGAGCUGGGUCGAUCUG